GAGAUAUGAUGAGUAAUUUAUUGGUCCGUGUUUCUGACUAACCGUGACCGAUUACUAUAACCAAUCUCUGAUCUC